AAAAAAUCUGAAUCAGGACACUUGUGUCUUCAAAACUAAUAAUAUGAAGCUCAAUUUAAUUUUAUUUGCAUUUGCGAUCUGCAUUUAUGGUGUUCAACCUAACGCUGUACCAGGGUCUGCAGAAAUUUCUCCAGAAAGUGCUUAGGCUCUUUUGGUAGCCCUAAACAAGCUUCUCAAAGAAUCUCAAAACCCAGAACACGUACAAAAAAAGGUUAUUGAAAAAACUCAAACUAUAAAAGAUGUACUUAGUGUACAAACUUCACAACGUAGCCUGAUCACAGAUUUGAAGCACUUGGUGGCACUCUUCGUUGAUGGAUUGGGAUCUGUGAUUAACCUUUUAUUGCCUCCUGGUCAGGAUAUCUUCGAUGUUAUCGCUGAGGCUUUGAAGAAAGUUGUAAGGUGGUUUGUUCAUGACAACGAACCAUUGCUAGGGCUCUUGGACAAACUCAUCCUUGCUGGAGAGAAUAUAGCGAGAGUAGCAAUUGAAAGUGCGUUAGACGUCCUUUUAGGAGAACCUGUAG
rnacentral:misc_RNA from 1 species